rnacentral:rRNA from 1 species
GAUUCUGGCUCAGAACGAACGCUGGCGGCAGGCCUAAGUCAUGCAAGUUGAACGGCUGUAGCAAUACAGCAGUAGCGGACGGGUGAGUAAUGUAUGGGAACGUAUCUUCUAGUGGGGAAUAUCUUUGGAAACGAAGAGCAAUACCGCAGUAAGUCCUACGGGAGAAAGUCGCAAGACGCUAGAUGAGCGGCCCAUAUUGGAUUAGCUAGUUGGUUGGUAACGGCUGACCAAGGCAACGAUCCAUAGCUGGUCUAAGAGGACGAUCAGCCACAUUGGGACUGAGACACGGCCCAGACUCCUACGGGAGGCAGCAGUCAGGAAUAUUGGACAAUGGGGGGCAACCCUGAUCCAGCCAAUGCCGCGUGAGUGUUAAGGUCUUCGGAUUGUAAAGCUCUUUUGUGUGGGAAAAUGAUGAUGGUACCACAAGAAUAAGCACCGGCUAACUUCGUGCCAGCAGCAGC